rfam:Desulfuromonadales bacterium C00003096 3datasets_contig_113388, whole genome shotgun sequence.
GGGCUCGUAGCUCAGUGGAAGAGUGCCUCCUUCGCGAGGAGGAAGCCACGGGUUCAAAUCCCGUCGAGUCCA